rnacentral:snoRNA from 1 species
UGGAUCGAUGAUGAUCAAUGCCGGCGUAUGAGUCACUGAUGAUGAGUAAUACGUAUCUGGAACUCUGAGGUCCAG